rnacentral:rRNA from 1 species
CCUACGGGCGGCUGCAGUGGGGAAUUUUGGACAAUGGGCGCAAGCCUGAUCCAGCCAUGCCGCGUGCAGGAUGAAGGCCUUCGGGUUGUAAACUGCUUUUGUACGGAACGAAAAGACUCCUUCUAAUAAAGGGGGUCCAUGACGGUACCGUAAGAAUAAGCACCGGCUAACUACGUGCCAGCAGCCGCGGUAAUACGUAGGGUGCGAGCGUUAAUCGGAAUUACUGGGCGUAAAGCGUGCGCAGGCGGUGAUGUAAGACAGAUGUGAAAUCCCCGGGCUCAACCUGGGAACUGCAUUUGUGACUGCAUCGCUGGAGUGCGGCAGAGGGGGAUGGAAUUCCGCGUGUAGCAGUGAAAUGCGUAGAUAUGCGGAGGAACACCGAUGGCGAAGGCAAUCCCCUGGGCCUGUACUGACGCUCAUGCACGAAAGCGUGGGGAGCAAACAGGAUUAGAUACCCCUGUAGUC